GCCGCGGUGGUGAAACGGCAGACACGCAGGACUUAAAAUCCUGUUCCUGUAUAAGGAGUGAGGGUUCGACCCCCUCCCGCGGCA
rnacentral:tRNA from 1 species